rfam:Triticum aestivum genome assembly, contig: Triticum_aestivum_CS42_TGACv1_scaffold_577727_7BL
ACCUCACUCCCUCCAUCAAGAAAUAUUUGUCAUCAAAAUGGAUAAAAAGAGAUGUAUCUAGACAUAUUUUAGUUUUUGAUACAUCUCUUUUAAUAUAUUUUGAUGACAAGUAUUUCCGGAGGAAGGGAGUACAAC